GAACUUUCGGCUUCGACCCUCACUAGGGAAUCCCUUAAACGUCCAACUUCUGCUUCCAAUUCUCUCUCUCUCAUUAAUAUCUCCAUGUAUCUUCGAUGAUAUCGCUGGUUUUCGCUCUCUGCCUCCCGAUGCCUUUUUCUCAGGACCUCGAAUUCUGCCUCCGCGUCCUUGACGGCCUGCUGCUCGCAUGUCAGCUGGAUCUUCAAUUGCUGCAGCUCGACCGUCCUCCCCCCAAGGGCGAUAGAAAGCUCUUCUGCAGUUCUUCUUAGGGA
rnacentral:lncRNA from 1 species